UACGUAGGGGGCGAGCGUUGUCCGGAUUCAUUGGGCGUAAAGCGCUUUAAGGCGGUUCGCUAAGUCGGGUGUGAAACCUCCAGGCUCAACCUGGAGACGCCACUCGAUACUGGCGUGACUAGAGUCCGGUAGGGGACCACGGAAUUCCUGGUGUAGCGGUGAAAUGCUUAGAUAUCGGCAAGAACACCUAUAGCGAAGGCAGCUUACUAGGCUGUAACUGACGCUGAGGCACGAAAGUGUGGGGAUCAAACAGG
rnacentral:rRNA from 1 species